rnacentral:rRNA from 1 species
UACGGGGGGGGCAAGCGUUGUUCGGAAUUGCUGGGCGUAAAGGGCUCGUAGGCGGCCAACUAAGUCAGACGUGAAAUCCCUCGGCUUAACCGGGGAACUGCGUCUGAUACUGGAUGGCUUGAGGUUGGGAGAGGGAUGCGGAAUUCCAGGUGUAGCGGUGAAAUGCGUAGAGAUCGGGAGGAACACCAGUGGCGAAGGCGGUGGCCUGGACCGAUGCUGACGCUGAGGCGCGAAAGCGUGGGGAGCGAUCCGG